GUUACAGAGAAGAAACAUCUACAUCUUCAUGUCCAUUCUAUUGUGUGGACAAACCAUCAGCUGGAACAGCGAGAUGCAAAAAUCCCGAGCCUUCAAAGCCAGCUCCUGCAGAAGAGAGAGGGUCUGGCAGCUGAGCUGGAUGCUUUAGGAGCAGAGGAUCUAUCAACUGCAGACCAAGCAUAGGG